rnacentral:miRNA from 1 species
ACCUUGAGAUCUUAUUAAAAUGCAGUGAGUCUGAUUCAAUGGAGCCUGAGAUUCUGCAUUUCUAACAAGUUUCCAGGUGAUG